UGGGGAAUAUUGGACAAUGGGGGGAACCCUGAUCCAGCCAUGCCGCGUGUGUGAAGAAGGUCUUCGGAUUGUAAAGCACUUUAAGUUGGGAGGAAGGGCAGUAAGCGAAUACCUUGCUGUUUUGACGUUACCGACAGAAUAAGCACCGGCUAACUCUGUGCCAGCAGCCGCGGUAAUACAGAGGAUGCAAGCGUUAAUCGGAAUUACUGGGCGUAAAGCGCGCGUAGGUGGUUCGUUAAGUUGAAUGUGAAAGCCCCGGGCUCAACCUGGGAACUGCAUCCAAAACUGGCGAGCUAGAGUAGGGCAGAGGGUGGUGGAAUUUCCUGUGUAGCGGUGAAAUGCGUAGAUAUAGGAAGGAACACCAGUGGCGAAGGCGACCACCUGGGCUCAUACUGACACUGAGGUGCGAAAGCGUGGGGAGCAAACAGG
rnacentral:rRNA from 1 species